CUGUGGUGCAGUGGGUUAAUGAUCUGGCUUGUCUCUACGGAGGUGCUGGUGCAAUCCCUGGCUUGGCAUAGUGGUGUUAAGGUUUCAGUAUUGCUGCAGCUGUGGUGUAGGUUGCAGCUCUGACUCAGAUUCAGUCCUUGUCCUGGAAACUUCCAUAUGCCAUGAGUUCAGCCAAAAAAGAAAAACAAAAGCCAAACAUCAAAGAAUACCAAGAAAAGAGGCAGAUCAAAGUGUUGUCUCUGCUCUCAACUCUUAAUGAAAUGGAUUACCAAAUAUACAUUGCAAUGCCAAGUAACACAGAAGUCCUACACAGAAUUCUUCAGUUGUCGGACCAGUUCUGUGUUCUAGAGCUGAUAUCCAUCUCUAGGAAGUAGAGGCUUAUUACCAAACAUUUGCUAGAGCCUUGCAGGCAGGUCUGUGUGAAGACAACUAUCUGCAGCUGUGUUAAGGGGAGGAUAAUCUUCUCAGUCCCUUUACUUCUCACAGGAAAAAACAAAACAAAACAAAAAAAACAAACCAACAUUGGAGACAGAGAGAUAUCAAAUAACAAUCUUCUUUGACCUUGAUAUAUCUGGCUUAUGAACAGUUUGUAAGACUUUGUCUUGCCAUUAACCAUUUGCACUUUCUACCACAAGGAAAUGAUUGUUGCAUGGUUUUUCCAGGGGUCUCAUAUCCUUUGUGAGGGAUUUCUUAGAGAUUCUUUUAUAAAGUGUUCCCAAUAUUCAUAUUUGCCUUUUGUUCAUUCCUCUCUCUCAGUCUGAUGGCCAGUCCUGGUUUUGUCUACUCUGUGUUGUACCCUCAGCACCUCCUAUGCAGAUUUCUGCAACAAACAUUCAGAAAUAGCCUUUAAUUCUGACUCUACCACUACACAUCCAUGCUCCAUUUCCAUCAUUUCAUAGCCUAAGUUGCUUUAAAUCCUGCUCUUUUUCAGUCAUGCGUUUGCUAAGAAACCCUGCAGUGAGUCCAGUGAGAGUGAAAAGUCAUUCAAUAAGUUCCAAGUUUUAAGGAGCAUUUAUAAUCAAUUCCACUUUCCAAACCCUAUCAAUAUCUCACUACUCUAGGUAAUCAAUUACCAUGACUUGCUAAUUUUACUCCCAAACUUUCUCUUCUUUCAACAUAAUUCACUCUCUGCAGUGCAGAUGUUUAGAGAGAUAGGCAACUUCAUAAACAUAAAUACAUAACUUCAAAAAUAUUUAAGUAAAUAAGUUAAAACUAUUCGUAUUCAGAUGAACCGGCGUUUGAACUGUUAUCUCUUCCUAAGCCAUAUAAAUCUGGACAAGUUAUUUAAUCUUCCUGAACUUCAGAUAUUUAACCCCAUUGAAUUCUUCCGAGGAUUAAAUGAUAUAAAAUAUUCAAGUUGUCUAACAUUCCUUGGGAUAUAUUACUUGGUAUAUUAAAGCAUGUUUCCUUAUUUUGGGUUUUGCUUUCUUUUCUGUUUUUAAAACUGCAGUCAUCUGGCUCUAAUCAGGAGGCAGACUACACAAUAAAUUAAAUACGUGUAAUUAAUAAUAAAGAAUUAUUAACUAUGAUAAAAGAGAAACUACAUGAUAUAAAGAAACUCUAUAUAUUAUCCUGAGAUUGAGGGAGAGUAGCUGAGAAAGGACAACCUUGGAAGAGGUUCAGAUCUUGGUGGAAUUCUGCCUACUUGAUAGUAAAGGUGUUUAUUAGUUUGGCUGGGCCUGGCCUGGUCUGGAGUUCCUGGGCAAGCAGUAGGCCAGGAAAGUGGGCCACCGAACAGGUGGUCAGUAACUGGUGACAUGGGGAUGCAAGUCUGGUGCCAGCUAGGGUGGAAGGCCUUUAGAACAUGCAGGCUUGCAUGGGUGUGGGGGCUUGCAGGACUGCUUUGUGUGUGGCUCUAUAGGACAUAGGUGGUUACUGGUAGACCACAUGGGGGAGUCCCAAUGCCUGGAAUGCAGGAGGCCUUCAGAACAAAGGCUUUUGCGAGUAUGUGUGGGAGCAGGGGUGGGAGUAGUUGUGGUUUCUGUCUCCAGGACUGAGGAAAGGUUAUUGCUAUUCAUAGCACACAAAGUCAUGGAGGGACCAUGCUCUAGGCCAAUGACCGGGACAGGCUUCACAGGAUGUUUUCACACUCACAAGGCUGGCCCCCUGACCCUUGCAGGAAAUUGCUGAAAGCUUCUUCCUUUGGUGAUGUGUCUUCAAUGCCCUCUACUGAGAAGGGUUGUCAUUUUGCUUACUUUAAAGGAAAAGCCUUCCAAUUAUUCUCCUAUUUUUCAUAGACCAUAUGGUAAAGUGUGCAUUUGAAGCUGAGAAGCAAUACAUUGAUAACUUGCACAUAGCUGUACUAUGAAACCAAUUAGCGAUGUUUUAUUAAGAUAUAAUUUUUUUCCCAUCAUAUUUUGUCUGAAGAAAUGACAGACUUCCCUUGGGGGUAGUGGUGUUUCCAAAUGAUUAACCAGGAAUACAGCAGGUGUUGCUUCUCUUUGUAAUAUUUGAGUCAGUGUUUGAAUACAAAUGCAAGAUUUAUUUAGGGAAUUAUAUUUUAAAUGUGUUCAGCACCAAUUUGUGUAUUGAUUUAUUCCAAAGAAGAGGGAAGCUGCACUUGGCAAGGUCUGACAUCAAGAAUGCAUUUGAAACAUCCAUGUAGUCUUUCUCUGGGCCCUUAGUUUUUUGAGACUGCAAUUUAUUAUUUUUUGUCUACUAAUCUUUCUAAGCAAAUGUACUUUUUACUCCCUUGUCAGUGUGCAAACAUGCUACCACAGCAGGCUGCAACACUUCGAUACUUUCCCCUGACCUCAGAUUUCUAUGCCUUUAAGGCACAUGUUCUUAUUUCUUCUAUGCUUUGGGGAAAACAUUGGGCCCUUACUCCUACCUUGUCCCUGGUUUUCUCUUUUGCUCUCUGAGCAAACUGUCUUACAGUUUUGAGCUCAUCAAAACAUGCCAAGCUCAAUCAGUAAGAUUUUAUUUUUAGUUUUCCCUUCCUUUUAAAGGUAUAAGGAAUGCCUAUAGCUUAGGAAUCCAUCAGAUGGGAGGUAUUGGUAACUUUGUAUUCUUUGCUGGACUCAUUUCCCCUUUCCACAUCUGGGAUCACCUCCUGCCCACAGUUUGACCUCAGCAGCCUGGUAGAUGGCAAUGACUUCCUGUCCUCUUUCAUUGCAGUGGCUACCCUAGGAUGCCAUAAAGUGGAAGAGUGGAUUUGAACCCUGGACCUGUACUCUAUUGUGCAAUUUUCUGUAACCUGAAGGGCCAUUUAUGCAGGUGAAAAAACUGUUGCACACAUGGUAGAAAUUAAAUUAUAAAACUUCAAUGCAGGGAUACUAGAUGAUCAUAUGGAGGGUGACAGUGAUGAUUUUGUGAUGACAGUGACAGAGUUAUCUAGAGAAAUCUGCAUUAAACUUUUACUUUCUACUACCUGGGAAGAAUAGUUCAGACUUGAUUUUAGAUCUUCUCUCCUGCUAAUCCCCUCCCCUAUGUGGUAUAGUUUUCCUACUAUAAAACUAUGUUGAAAAUAUGUUUAUAUUGAUUUUUAAAGACAGAGCAAAAUGAGAAGAAUUAUAAUUUAACAGCUCCAAGAACUAUUAAAGAGGAACACUACAAUAGCUAGAUCAAAUUGUCAUGUAAUCCCACUGAGAUGGAAAGAACAGAAGUAAAUGUAUUUGAGAACACCCCAUUUUCAUGUUGACAAAAGGGUUAUAAACUUCAUCUUUAUAAAUGGAUUUGUAUUGGACUUUUUGUGUGUAGUGAUAUACAGUGUUAAUAAUUCUAUCUUUUGUGAGCAAAAACUUAUCAAACCUCUGCUUUGUGUAAGGUAGUUAACAUGGUGUUUUAAUAUCUACAGAUGUUUAAGGUAGAUGUAGUUAUGCCCUGUUUCUAGAUGAAGUAAACUAAAUGCAGGCUAGCUGUUUGUGAAAGAUAACUAUAAAGUUAAUGUAUCCGGAUCUAUCUUCAUCUAUGCUUCUCUCAUCUUACCCAUCUUUAGAUAUAAGAAAUGGUGAUGAUGAAU
rnacentral:lncRNA from 1 species